rnacentral:miRNA from 2 species
UGUGAAAGUGAGGCCAGUGUGGU